rnacentral:rRNA from 1 species
UACGUAGGGUGCAAGCGUUGCUCGGAAUUACUGGGCGUAAAGCGUGCGCAGGCGGUUCGUUGUGUCGGCGGUGAAAGCCCCGGGCUUAACCUGGGAAUGGCCGUUGAAACUGGCGAACUGGAGUGUGGCAGAGGGGGGUGGAAUUCCGCGUGUAGCAGUGAAAUGCGUAGAGAUGCGGAGGAACACCGAUGGCGAAGGCAGCCCCCUGGGCUAACACUGACGCUCAGGCACGAAAGCGUGGGGAGCAAACAGG